rnacentral:rRNA from 1 species
UACGUAGGUGGCGAGCGUUGUCCGGAUUUACUGGGCGUAAAGAGCGCGCAGGCGGCUGGUCAAGUCCGAUGUGAAAGCUCCCGGCUUAACUGGGGAACUGCGUCUGAUACUGGAUGGCUUGAGUUUGGGAGAGGGAUGCGGAAUUCCUGGUGUAGCGGUGAAAUGCGUAGAUAUCAGGAGGAACACCGGUGGUGUAGACGGCUCACUGGACCGUAACUGACGCUGAGACACGAAAGCGUGGGUAGCAAACAGG